GCUAAGGACAGAUGAAAUCCCUCAAAUUGUGAAUGAUUUCAGGCUUGCUGCAAGAAACGCAAUUGAGGCUGGUAAAUUCUUUUUCUGAAAUUAAAAAUUGAAUUGUGGGCAAUAAGUGUUUUAAGGUCGCCACAGGAUGGGUGAUAUUUCACUGGUCUACUUUUCUUGAGAUUAAGGAAAAUAGUAUAAAAGAAUAGUGAGAUUCUUCCAUUCCAUGCAUGGCUAUCAGAAGGAAAGGAAAACUAAACAUAAAUGCAUUAAUAGAUUUUUACUAGGCUUUUGUGGCUUGUAAAUAAUGUUGUUUUAUUGUACUGUAAGGUUUAUGUGAAAACAGUUAAGUUUCUUUACAAUUAUGCUUAUUGUCCCAUAGUUGUAUUUAUCAUAUUGAAUAAAGAAUUUGAAAACUUAAACCUUACCUAAAUGUGUCAUUAAUGUAAAUGGAGUCAUUACAAUAGUCGGAUUAUUUGGAAUGGGUUCUAGAAUCUUACAUGUGACUCCUUUUGUCAUCUAAAAUGAUGGUUGAGACUUUGUUUUUUAUGAUCUUAUCAACUGUUUUGUUGUUAGUUAAAGUAGGGAUUGAGUACCUGCAACUCUGAGUAGUUUUGUAGCUUUCUGCCUGCAUCUCUGAGACAUCACAAAACUGCCUAGGAUUAACUUUGAGAGCCAACCUAGUAAAUGCUUAAAUACUUUUUCUUCUUCUUAAAAUGAAAGCCAGACCCUCCGUUUGUCUGUCCGCACAAUGCGAGCCUCAGAGCUUUUAGUUAUAUGAGAAGAGGUAGAUAAAUGGAGUGUUCAUGCUGUACAGGUUUUUGGUUUCUAACUUUGUCUUAUACUGUAUAGGUUUCGAUGGCAUUGAGCUCCACGGUGCACAUGGCUACCUAAUUGACCAAUUUAUGAAGGAUCAAGUGAAUGAUCGAACAGACCAGUAUGGAGGAUCCUUAGAGAAUCGUUGCCGUUUUGCUUUAGAAAUAGUUGAAGCUGUUUCCAAUGAAAUAGGGGCAGAUAGGGUUGGGAUAAGACUAUCUCCGUUUGCAAACUAUAUGGAAUCAGGAGACUCUAACCCAGAAGCUUUAGGUCUUUACAUGGCAGAAUCCUUGAACAAAUAUGGUAUCCUCUAUUGUCACAUGGUUGAGCCAAGGAUGAAAACAGUUGGAGAAAAAUCUGAAUGUCCUCACAGUUUGCUGCCCAUGAGAAAGGCUUUCAAGGGUACUUUUCUUGUCGCUGGGGGUUAUGACAGGGAAGAUGGAAACAAAGCUAUUGCUGAAGGCCGUGCAGAUCUUGUUGUUUAUGGUCGCUUGUUCUUGGCUAAUCCAGAUUUACCCAGGAGAUUUGAGCUCAAUGCUCCCCUCAAUAAGUACAACAGAGAAACAUUCUACACAUCCGAUCCUGUUGUUGGUUACACAGAUUAUCCAUUUCUCAACACCUCUUCUUUGGUUACCAAGAAAAAUGAUUAGACUGAUAAAGCAUUAUCUCGGAUUUAAUCCUGUUUUCUGAUUGUUUAUAGAUGUACUGUGUUUAUGUAAAAGCCAAUAUAGGUUAUCUCAAUAAAAUUGUAUUGGCGUAAGGCCAAGCUCUAUACCUAUACGUUUCACAUACACUUCCUCUCUCAUUCCAAUUGAGACUGCAAUUCUCAAAAAUCACAAGGAUAAAAGAAAGACGAAGCAUUGUGGAAUCAAACUCAAAACCAUCCUUUCGUCUCAUAAAUUGGAAAACGAAUUAACAUGGAGCAAUUCAUCACCAGCAUGUUUGAAUACAUACUUAGCUUUCCCUUCCGUUAAUUUCAAAAUACUUACACUACUCCAAAUUGACAAAACAUAAAACAGGUCUUCACACGUGUGCAUACGGGCUUGGCCCAUUUCUCAGCCAUUUGAUGAAAACUAAAUUUAUAUAUUAUUUUGGAUUAAAAUCAGUUAGUAGAAUUGAUUUGAAUUGGUCAAGGUUCGUAUCUAAAAUAAAAUAUUUAAUCUAAAACUAUAAAAGAGUAAAACUAAACCUAAUUGUAUUCGAUUAACACCACACAUGUACAGAAUAACAAUGACACAUCUCUUUCUUCUAUAGUACUUUUUGUCUAAAAAUGUACUAGAAUGAAAGGAGACUGAAGCCUAUUUUGGCUUUUUCAUUCGCUCACUAGUUGGGUGUUCUUUUACAAUUUUCCAUAGUACUUCUCGAAGGAAUUUGGGUGAUUAACUCCGUCUUUUAGCUUUUAUUUGCGGAUAAUAUAGGGUAGGUGAGCUAAGUUAUUGCUGGAUUCAUAGCUAAGUAUGGAUACAGAGGAUUUAUUGCGCAAGGGUCAGGCUGUCGUUCUAAAAGAAGAAGAAGCAGGCAUAGUAGCAUUCAUGGGGCAAAUGAGGAUUAAGGGAGAAGAAGUUGCUGCGAAUUGUCUAGUAGGGAAGGUGUUGCUUUCACGAAGCAUAAACAAGGAAGGCUUGAAAGCAGCUAUGCAAAUAGCUUGGAGAACAGUGAAGGAGGUAAAAAUUGAAAGCAUGGGGGAUAAUAUUUUUCUCUUCAAGUUUGCUUCAGAAUAAGAAAAGAAAAGAGUGCUUAUGGGAGGGCCAUGGCAUUUUGACAGAGCACUGAUAGUUUUGAUCGAACCAUCCGACAUUGGUGAUAUCAAAAAUUAAUCCUUUACGCAUACAACAUUUUGGGUACAGAUCCAUAAUAUACUCAUAAUGUGCAUGAACAAGGAGGCAAUUGAAAAACUAGGUGAAAAGAUUAGUGGGAUCAAGGAAAUAGAGACAGACGAAGCCGGGGAUUGCAUAGGACAGUUUGCUCGAGUAAGAAUCUCCCUUGACAUUACUCAGCCAUUAAAAAAGAUUGUGUUUUUACAACAAGAUGAAGGAAAAAUUCCAAUGCCAAUCCUGUAUGAAAAGCUACCGGACUUUUGCUUUUGUUGCGCGCAUGUAGGUCAUCAGUACAGAGAGCGCAUGUAGGUCAUCAGUAUAGAGAGUGCCUGAGGUAAAAAGGACAACAUCUAAUGUUGAGUGUAACAGAGCAGGAAAACCAGCAAGUGGUGCAUUAAAGCAGGGUGGUGACAUCAACAAGUUGCAGGACAGAGUGACUAGUAAUGAUAGCCAAUCUAGAUAUGAACGCAAAAAAGGCGGAAAAGAAGGAUUGGAGGGAAAAUGAAAAUCUUGUAGAAAAAGACAAUGUGGGGAACAUGGAAAAUAAAAUGGAGGAGGACACGGGGGGUGCCAGAUCAGAUGAAGAGGAUUUGGAUAAUGGGCCCAGCAAGGCCACCGUGAAAUCCAAAGGAAGAAAAUGGAAAUUGCGGGCAAGAAACACCAAAGGAGAAGGAGCAAAUAAUAUUACUUUCGUAGAAAGUAAAAGACACAACAGUGAAGGCCAUGGGCCUAGCCUAGAGAGCAAAAAGAGGGGAGUGUCCAGUCCAAAAAAGCAACCAUAGGAAGGAAAACACAUAAGCCUAGCAAAAGCAUUAGACAACUGCAACCAUUUUAGCCCCAACAAAGUAGCUCGCUAGUUGAAGCAAGCAGAAGAAGUGCUUGAUGCAGGGGAAAACUUGUAAGCAAUGGAUGAAGACCUAUCGGCGGGUGCUGAUGAUCAACCCCACCGACAACCAUAAAGAUCCUCAGCUGGAACGUUCGAGGUCUGGGGAAGCCUCAAACGCACUUAGCAAUUAGAAAAGUUCUAUACCUGCACCGGUUCUAAAUACUAUUUUGUUGUGAAACUAAGAUGAUGGCUAGGUAGGUCAAUUUAAUUUACAGAAGUUUUAAUUUUGUAAAUUGUUUUGCUGUGGACAAAAAUGGUUUGGGUGGAGGCCUAGCUAUGCUCUAGGGAGUAGACGUUAAUGUCAAUAUCACCUCAUACAGGCCCCACCAUAUAGAUGCAAUAGUGAGUAGUGAAAGUGGCUUGGUUUGGAGAUGUACGGAGAUUUAUGGCCACCUAAAGCUCAGCCAGAAGCGUAGCACAUGGACCAUUCUAAAAAGGUUAGCUAAUCUUUCUUCCCACCCUUGGUGUUGCUUUGGGGAUUUCAAUGAAGUGAUGCAUAUGUUUGAGAAAAAUGGGAGCAGAAUGUAAAUGUGGUUGUCGAGUUUAGAGAGGUUGUGGGCUGCAAGGGGUACCCGUAUACAUGGUCUAAUAAGAGAUUUGAUGCUAAUUACAUAGAAAAAUGGCUGGACAGAUUCUUGUGUAGUAAGGAUUGGGGCAAAAAAUUUUAAGACUCUACAGCCACAAACCUUGUUAAUUGGGUCUCGAAUCACUGUCCAAUAUUCUUAGAAUUCAAAUAGAGAUGCAAGAAGUCGAGGACUGUGAGCAUAUCGUUUCCUGUGAUCACUAUGAGGAUAUGUAGAGUUCUUACGAAGACUGUAAGAGCAUAGUAAAAGAUGAGUGGGGAAACUAUGGGGCUAGAGCUUGGGAGGAUCCUGCUCACCAAUUUCAGCGGAUAGCAAAAAAGUCUUUAGCUCAGCUUAAGCUUUGGAGUAAAAAUGAAUUUGAAGGAAGACAAAGAAAAUAAGAAAAGCUGUUUCAGAGCCUUCAGAAUGCUAUGCAAAGAAGCUCUAAGCUGACUGAUGGAGAGGAGAUUAGGAAGAUUGAAAGCCAGAUCAAUUCCACGCUUAUUGACGAGGACAUCUAUUGGAAGCAACGAUCGGGGGCUGACUGGCUAAGAAAAGGAGACAAAAACACUAAGUUUUUCCACGCCAAAGUUUCUGCCCGUAAAAGAAAGAAUAAGGUGUGGGGGGUAGAAAACUCUCAAGGCGUCUGGCUAAGGGAGAGAGAUGAUAUAGAAAAGGAAUUCUGCGGUUACUUCCAAGAACUCUUCACUACAUCCAGCCCAACUCCAAGCCAAAUUCAAGCUGCUCUUUAAGGAAUGCCGGUAAAAGUAACAUAAAAAAUGAAUGCCCAGCUGGAGAAGCCCUUCACUCCAGAGGAUAUAGAGGAGGCUCUAGGACAGACGUGCCCCAGAAAAGCCCCAGGUCCAGAUGGCUUAACUGCUGUAUUUUUUCAGAAGCAUUGGAAAUUAAUUCGCAAUGGAGUUGUUACAACAUGUCUUCAUAUCCUUAAUGAGCAAGGUAACCCGUCUCCUCUUAACCAUACUUUUAUCACCUUGAUCCCUAAAAUUGCUAAGCCUAAGAGAGUCUCUGAUUACAGGCCUAUAAGCCUGUGUAAUGUAAUUUAUAGAGUCGUAGCUAAGGCUAUUGCAAAUAGAAUGAAACCGAUCCUCUCCCAAAUCAUUUCUCCAAUGAAGAGUGCAUUCAUACCCAAUAGGACUCAUUACAGACAAUGUUAUUAUUGGUUAUGAAUGCCUCUAUAAGAUAAGACACUGUAAAGGGAAGAUGAAUGAUCUUGUGGCUCUUAAGCUAGAUAUUAGUAAGGCGUAUGAUAGAGUUGAAUGGUCUUUUUUGAAUCAAACAUUGUUAAGGCUGGGUUUCUCACCUAAUUGGGUGGAUUUGAUUAUGAGGUGUGUCUCUACUACCUCACUCUCGGUGAUUAUUAAUGGUGUGCCAAAGGGAAUAAUUCAGCUGGAAAGAGGUCUGAGGCAGGGCUGUCCGCUAUCUCCAUAUCUCUUUAUCAUCUGUGCUGAGGCGUUCUCCAAUAUGCUUGUGAAGGCGGAAAAGAUUCAGCUAAUCCGAGGUCUGAAAUUUACAAAAAAAAGUCUCAAUUACCCACUUGCUGUUUGCGGAUGAUAGCCUGGUUUUUUAUCGUGCUUCAGUGGCUAAUUGUAAGCAUCUGAAGGAGAUUUUCGACAACAAUGCAGCAGCUUCUGGGCAGAUUUUUAAUUUUCAGAAAUCCUCCUUGUUCAUUAAUGGUUGAAUCCCUGCAAGUCAAACAGCUGCUAUUAAGGACAUUUUCAAGUUAAAUAUGGUCUCCAAGUAUGAAAAAUACUUAGGCCUCCCCUCAAUGAUAGGAAGAGAGAAGCUGAGCUUUUUCGAUGAAGUAAAACUAAAAGUUUUAAACAAGAUCAUAGGGUGGCAGCAUAAAAGGUUUUCGAGUGGGGGUAAGGAAAUCUUUAUUAAAGCGGCAGCCCAAGCUAUCCCAGCUUACGCAAUGAGUGUGUUCAAGCUUCCGAGAGGUCUUUGAGAUGACAUUCAACGGGCUAUAGUGAAGUUUUGGUGGGGAACGAAGGAAGAUAAGCAAGGUAUCCAUUGGUUAAAAUGGGAGAAGCUCAGCCAUGCAAAAAACAGAGGUGGGAUGGGAUUUCGGGAUUUUACUAGCUUUAACCAAGCCUUGGUGGCAAAGCAAGCUUGGAGGUUUCUGCAGUACCCAAAUUCUCUGGUCUCAAGAGUCCUUCAAGCAAGAUAUUACAAGAACUCCAGCUUUCUAGGUGCAUCGGUAGGGUCCAAUGCUUCAUUCAUCUGGAAAAGCAUUCUUUGUGGCAGAGAAGUAAUCAAGAAAGGUUUUAGAUGGCGGGUGGGCAAUGGCAAGAACAUAUCUGUUUACAAGGAUAAUUGGAUGCCAAGGCCGAAUACGUUCAAGCCAAUCUCCCCCCUACUUUGCCAGCAGACAUAGUGGUGACAGACCUAAAUAAGGAAGAUAACCAUUAGGAUGAAGACAAUCUGAACCAACACUUUAUGGAAGUAGAUGCAGCAAUGAUUCUUAAGAUUCCUCUCCCAAAAGAACAUUUGGAUGAUGAUGUUUUAUGGCAUUAUGAUAAAAGGGGAGAAUACUCGAUCAAAAGUGGGUACUAGCUAGCCUUAAGAAUGAAAUUUUCAGUUGCUCCUAGUAGCUCAGAGAGCAUGUCUCAGUAUUGGAGUGCCCUUUGGUCCCUGGAGCUACCUGAAAAAAUAAAAAUAUUCAUGUGGAGGGCAUCAAACAAUCUGCUCCCAUCAACAGAAAAUAUGUGGAAAAGAAAAGUCAUUCAAGAGCCAACUUGUCAAAUAUGUAGAAAGAGCAUAGAAUCUAUAAGCCACGCCUUAUUGGAGUACAAGGCAGCAAAAUCGAUCUGGCUACAAUCUCCCUUUACAGUUCCAAGCUUUAAAGACCAUUCUCAGGAAAUUUUUAGCAUUUUGCAAGGAAUGGCCAAUGAGUUAAGGAAAGCUGAUUUGGAAUUAAUGGUGUGCUGGGCUGUAUGGUUUUCUAGAAACAAAUUUAUUUUCGAAGGCAAGAAGAUAGCCCCCAAUAUCUCAACUGCAAAGGCAAAGUCUGUUUUGGAUGCAUUUCAAAGAGUAAGGAAGACAUACCCCUCUCAUAUUGCCUACUCCAGUGGAGAGAAGCUGCAGAAGUCGAUUCCCCCCCUCCCCGAAAAUGUCUUCAAAGUUAAUGUCGACGCUGCCAUUAAUGCCAAGGAUCAGACUACAGGAGUGGGAGUAGUCAUCAGAGGAAUAAACGGCAAGGUAAUUGCAGCCGGCAUCAAUCAAUCUUCUCUAAAGGGAACGGUAAGUAAUGCAGAGGUCGAGGCUAUGUUAUGGGGAAUUCAAGUGGCGAGAGAAGCAAAUUUAGCCUCCUUGAUCAUUGAGUCAGAUUGCUUAGAGGUGGUCCAGUUAGUAAACAACACUAAGGGUAGCAAAACAAAAAAUUUUUGGACAAUUCUAGAGAUCCAAAAUUAGUUGAAGGAUUUUCACAAAGUAGCAGUCCAUCAUACUCCAAGAUAAUGUAAUGCUUAUGCUCAUUCCUUAGUUAAGUUAGCUUUGGGGAGAAACUCUUCUUCUAUCUGGUUAGGAACUAUCCCAACUAAGAUUCAAGUUGUAUUUAAUGUAUUGUGAUUUAUGAAAGGUUUACUUUCUUUUUUUUAAAAAAAAGCACCACACAUGUACUGAGCAUUCACGCAUACCUACAAAUCAGUGGCAGCAUAGUAAUUGGCAUGGCAGUUUGCAUGACAAGAUACACAACACAGUAGACUCACCAGACAGCACACACACAACAGUAGUCACUGACUCACCAACGCAACCGCGUGAAGCCAGGCCAUCGUGAGUCUGCGACAUGCUGACACAAUACACCUUGACCACUGCUGCAACUUGCUCCACCUUGAUCGAUAGCCAUUAAGUUCCUCCAACUUACUUUUUUCAAUAAACAUUACUAUACUAUAUAUAUUAUAUUAAAUAAUUAAUUUCCAAAUUUCUAUUACGUUUAUAACUUUUCAAGUUCAAUGAUUUUUGUAUGCUUAAUAAGACUACUCAGCAAGAAAAAGUCACAAUUUAUCCAUGAUUUUAGUUAGAAUUAGUAAUAUAGUGAAUAGGAGUAUAGAGAUCAUUUUUUUUAAUUUUAAUUUGAAUACAAAUCAAACCCUAUAAAUUUAUAUAAGAAAAUGUAUGUUAAAAUUUUAUUCCUAAAUAAUCAUCAUGUAAAAUUCUGUUUCAUUGUUUUUUGCUUAGAUUGAGACUAAUUAAUUUAUUAAUUGAAAUUGUAUUGUUAAUUGUUUUUAGCACAAUUAUCCUAGUCUUAUUAUUAAUUGUUAUUUUUAAAUGUACUGGGGAUGUUUGAGAUUGUGAGUGUUGUGGUGAUAUUUUAAUAGUUUUAUGUUUUGAAUUAAUGAUGACUAUUCAUUUUUUUGUAUGUUCAAGUGACUAGACACUCAAGAUCAAAUUUCACAAUUGAUGAUGAGGCACAAAGUGAACAACUAAAAGGAAAUCAAAAAGGGAGGGAAAAGACGAAGCAAGCGAAAAAUACAGCAAAUGAAAAAAAAGAUUUCUAAUGUGGAAUCAUCUCACUUUAUGUAAGGACAAUUUAAACAAAUGCUAGUGCAACUAUUGUGGUAAACAAUAUCAAUGCCAUUCAAGGCAUGAGGAGAUUAUCAAUAUGAGAAAUAAUAUAAAAAAUUAUAACAUAUACAAGACAUUCCAACAACAACAAGAAGAAAAUCGGCAGAAGUUGAUAGUUGAGGAUGGUGAAGGAAUUGCAAGUAACAUGGUUUUGGCUAAACGAUAGGAUGAGUGGAUGACAAGUGGCUCAAUUAUUUGUUUGAUACAUACAUGAAUAAUCUAUAUUCCAAGUUCCAACGGUUGCAUUUAAAUUCGCCAAUAGCAGAAAAGAAAAGAAAAGUAAAUCAAUAUCUUUGCAUAAAUUUGUAAUUUUUUAAUUUACUUUUUCUCUUCAAUUCUUCUCUAGGGGAUCCGUCCUCCAACUUCGAAUACAAGAAGUUGAAGUUAGAACUUGUCCAAAUAUUUACGUGAAGGAAGGUUAUUUAAUAUUUAUGUUUAAAUUUUGUUGUUUUAGAAAUAGUUUAUUUUUAGACUUUGUAUUGGAAACUAUUUAAUUAUAUUUAAACUUUGUGAUCUUUGUGUUUUGAAGGCUAUUUAUAUUUGAAUAUCGUGCUUUGGGUGGAGGCUAUUAAAUUUAGAAUUUGUGUUUAUUUUAAUUUGUAUACAUUUGAUUUUAAUGGUAGUAGACUAGUAGUUUUCAUUUUUUUUUAGAAUUGGUAAAAACAAACUAAAAUGAGAUAAUUAUAAGAAAAUAAUUUUCUAGUAACUACAUAAUUUGUAAAGAAAACUCAAAAUAUACAAAAUAAAAGCUCAAAAUUGCCCAUGACUCGAAUCGACCCAAAUCCAAUUUUAAACCGAACUCAAUUCGAUCCAUCUAUAAUCCUAGCUCAGUCAACUUGAACUAAACCCGAACGUUUGAUCUAAUCCGAAUACAUACGGAUUAGAUUAGAUCAUAUUACAGUUCGGAUUGAGUUUGAAUAACUUUUUUCUCAAUCCAACUAACUCGAAAUCCGAUUGGAUUGAUUCAAACCCAUUUUUGCCCACCCCUAUUCAAUAUUGAUGCAAUUGCAUUGUUUUGAUUCUUACGCAACACUUGUCGAACUACAUCAUUAUAUACAAUGUUAUGAACUACUUGGGUUAUAUUGGAAGAAAUAUGAACACGUGGAAAAAUCAGCAACCGCUGUCAUAAGUAUCCUAUUUUGGUAACCAGUACAUUAGAAUCACUUUCAAUCCAUUCUGCAGUUUCCCCAUUUUGGCAUAAAUUUCCCUACCAACAGUCAGGGAUGUCCACACAAGCUUGCUCGUUAUGUGCCGGGAUCCUUUGCAAAGUAAGAAACAUGUAGCUCCUUUUGAAGAAGUGAAAAAAAAAAAUCAUAUCUAAGAAAUAUCUGGGCUGAUGGAAAUAUAUAAUGAAGUAUCCGGGUUUCUAAGGGAAAUAUGAGUCAGAGAAUUAGGACUCAUUAUUUAUCUCGUUGGACAGCUUGAAUUUAAUUCUGUUUCACUUUCAUUUUUGUUUCUUGUAAAUAUUUAUCUUGAUUUAUAGAUAUGGCCUUUGCAUAUACAAAUGAAUUAAAUACCUGAUAAAAAAGGAUACAUCAUUAAUCAUCCACAUAAAUUUUAAGAAAACUUGAUUUUUCGAUGAUUAUGUACCUGUGUUUCUAAGGGCACUAUCACAUAUUGUUGUCAAAGAAAUACCAAUAAGCAAACAUACCUAACACCUAGUGUUAUAUACAAAUGAAGACCCUUCAAUAUAUAAUUACUGGAAUAUGGCAAAAUUUUAUAAAAUAAAAUUUAUAUAUAUGAUUAUUUCCGAAGAUAGCCAGCUCACCAUUACUUGUUUCGUCCAUGCUUUCAUUCGAAUGCAAAUCCUUAAAAAAAAUGAUGUGAAUUAGAGUAACUUGAUUUCUUAAAAAAAUUAUGAAUAUCCUUUAGCAUAAUACACUCUUUUGUAAUUUUAACUUACAUUAUUUGCAGCAAGUUAGAGCAACCUUUAUUUGCGUGCACAUUACUGAAAUGUUAAAUUGAACUUGUGUACAAGCACAGUAGGCUGCAUACAUUUGUGAAGUACUUUCCAAUUAUGGUCUAGUUUGGGGUUUGAGGUUGAGCAACUGUAACUUAAAAACUAGUAAGCACUAGCUGUUGUAACUUAGAAACUAAGUUAAUUUGAUUUUAUAUUUGUAUGAUAAAAAAAUUAUUAUAUAUAUUUACUAAUUUUGUUAAAAAAAAUUUUACUACAUAUUACUAAGACCAUUCAUACAACAACUAUAAUUUAAAAGUUAGAACACAUUAAUAUCAAACAAGACCUAUAUGAGUUUCUAAUUCGAUUAAGACCAUUUUUGCAUGAAGUGAAAUCCAAAGCAAGCUACCUAUAGCAUCUUUCAUGGCAACACUUAUACCUCCAAAACAAGUUAUGAUAAUACUCAAAUGCUUGAUUACAAGUGGGAAAGGUUGGAUUUGCCAUGACUACUUCUGGAACACUCAAAUUCUUCACAAAAGUAAAACUAAUAAAAUGAAAAUUUGUUGAUGUUGAGAGGGCAAAGAAUGGCAAGGAGAGACAUAUUUCCAUUGAAACUUUGCAAAUUCAAUGUCUUUUAGAUUGAGUGUCUUUUAUUUAAAAUUAUCAUGGAAGUUAAAAAUCGAGGGAGUUCAUUUAAGAGAGUGGGUGAGAGUGAGUAAAACUCCGAGAUUCAAACACAGGGUAGUCAGUAGGUAAAGAGCAAACUUGUUGUUCGUCAUCUAUGGACACAGUGGAGUUAAUAUGUAAAUGCAAAGCUAUUUCUAUAUGAGAUGGCAGUGAACGAAAGCUAUCAAUUAGAAGCGGAAUGCAAGGAAAAAGAGGGCGUAUAAUGGAAAAUUCUCUAGUUGGGAAAAUUCUAUUUGUUGAGUACAUAAAGGCACCAGGUCGGCCAUGCUACUGGUUCCGCCCCGGCACAGAUCGUUUCAGCUAUAUGGUACGAGCAGAACACGGGGUUAAACAGGAGCCGACCCGAGAUGAGUGCGACCAUGAAAACAUACUGACCAGAAGUAUACGCCGAGCCGAUACUCAUCCCCAGGAAAGCGGGAACACGAUCUCACAAAAUCGCGGUAGUUGCGCUUCUCCCAGAACGGUUGAAGGACACGCGAGAUCCACGUUUGCCCACAAUCUAACAGUUAGAGUCCCAUGAGGGGUUACCACCACCCGAAAAAGGAGGGAUAAGGGGCAAACGAAAAACGUGGGACAAAGGGCGGCUAUAAAAGAGAAAGACAUCGAAGAAGACAGGACAGAAAAAAUUGAGAGAGGGGAAACGCUGCCAAAUUCCAACCAGGCCAUUUCCUUACAAAUUUCUUAAAUCCAUAUUACACUGUUUUCCCGUAAACACCUUGUGCUAACUUAGGCAUCGGAGGGUUUACGCCGGCAAAACCACCGGCGUCUCUGAUCCGUGUUUGCUGAACGCAGGUCUAGUGAGAGAGGGAAGGGCGAUUCCAACCCCAGUGGUUCGAGUGACAGUUGAUAACACAAACGUUGGUGACAGAAUCUGGUCGGUCCAAGGGCGAGCAGAUUUCAGCAUCAACAUUUUGGCGCCGUCUGUGGGGAGCUGAAUAAAAAGUUACCACCAAGUUAGUAAUUACCUGAGAAGUAGCGAACGAUUGGAUAUGGAUGCGUCAAGAAAGGAUACUUUAAGGGAGGAUAAUGAAACGGUGGAGACAAUCACUCUACGGGGGAUUGCAAAUGAAGCCCGAGAGAGGAUGAUGCAAGAUAGACUGGAGCGGAUGGAGAAACAAAUGGAGACUCUCGCGGCCGUAUUGUUUGAGCUGAGGGACGAGCGGAGAAGGGAUUAUGAAACCCCCGUGGGAAGAGAUGGAGUUGGAGCAGAACCUAGUCUCCGGGGGCGUAGGGUCGGGGAGAUCCCUCCACCCGCAGACCAACCUAACGGAGUGCAUCCCCACCGAAGUACUGGCCGGGUCCCAGGGGAACACGUGGAUGAAGGGAGAGACCAACCUCGCCCCGGACGGGUACUGGAAAUAAAUGGCCGAGGGGCCAGUGUUGAUGAAGGAGAGCUCAGACAGCGGUUGCAGAACGUCGAGCAGGAGCGAGACCAGAUAGCUGCACGUGAUCCUGAUCGCGCUAUAGAAUUGGAGGGGGAGGUGCGCAGAUUGGCGCAGGUGAUAGAGGAGAUGCAGGGCAAGAGAAAGCCCCCGAGCUGGAGGAUAAUGCUAGAUGAAGAAUCUCCGUUAUCAAUUGAGAUCAUGAGCACCAUAAUCCCAAGAGAUUUCCGCUUCCCUGACCUCAAAUACUCCGGGCGAAGUGACCCGUUGGUGCACAUUGAGCGUUUCAACGACAUGACGGGUGUGCAGGGGCUGACACCAGCUCAGAGAUGCAGGGUGUUCCCGUUGACACUAGAGGGACGAGCCCGAGAAUGGUACCGCAAGCUGCCCCGAGGAGGAAUAAAGGGGUAUGAGCAGAUGUGCCAGGAGUUGGCCGAGCAGUUCCGAGGGGCGGUGGCCCCAGAGGAUGACAUGAUGGAGCUGAUGGGGAUGAAGCAGGAGGAGCAUGAAUCCCUUCGCGAUUUCGUAAAACGAUAUCACCGAGCCGUGCUGGAUUUGGGAGCUUUUAAUCACCCGCAGGCGUUGUGGGGAUUAAAAGAAGGUGUAAGAAUCGGCCGAUUGUGGUAUAACUUAAGAAGCCCCCUUGUACAGAAUUACUCGUCGGGGUAUGAGCAAGCGAAACGAGAUAUAGAGAUCGAAGAGGAAAAAUCAGCAAGAAUUAAAAGUGAACAGCUGGAAGAGCUGAGGCGAAGAGAACGGAGAGCCCCGAAAGGGAGCGGGUCGGGAAAGCGAACAGGAGAAUCUUCGGGGAUGGGCGGAAUAUCAGCUCGGUCUCGCCCUUACCCCAUAGCUCAGAGAACACAACAGUUCCAACACAGCCGGGCUCAACCUCCGCGCCCCCCGAUCCCAGAACGGCAGCGAGAAUUCAGGCAGGUGACUGCCCACCCUUACCACCGCACUCCCAGAGAGGUAAACGCGACCAAUUACAGGUCUGGCCGACCAGAGCAGUUACCGGCUAUACCAGCCCGAAGUGACGUCCAUGAUAGCCGAGCAGUGCAGUUGGUUGACCAGAACGCGGCAUAUAGACGAUAUACUCCUUUAAAAGUCUCCAUGGAGGAACUAUAUGAAAGGAUCGAGGGACGAGGACUGCUGUAUACUCCGGCCCCUAUAACGAAACCCGCUCACCGGCGUGAUAAGAGCAGGUUCUGCAAAUUCCACAACAUUCACGGUCAUACUAUCAGCCAAUGCCGUGACCUAAGGAUUCAGGUGGAGGAUUUGGUGAGGAACCAAUACUUGGAUGAGUACGUAGAUGAAGUGUUCCCCGUCAGUGAGUCGCAAUAUGCACAGGAUGAAGGAGUUGAAAGGGGUUUGGAAUAAGAACAGCCGACUAUCCAAGUUAUAGCAGGAGGGCCAACAUUGGCCGGGGAUUCAAACAGGGCACGGAAGAACUAUGGGAGAUAUGCCCUGACUAGCAAAGAAAUGUUUUUCAAUUUGCCAGCAGCCAAGAGGGCAAAAGUGCGGCAAGUUCCUAUUAUGUGGACAGAGGACGACGAAGAAGGCAUUUUAUACCCUCACGAGGAUGCGCUGGUGAUUAAAGCAUUGGUGGCCAGUACAGAAUUGCGGCGAAUACUGGUAGAUACGGGCAGCUCAGUAGACAUUCUGUUUAAGUCGGCCUUAGAUGAUAUGGGGAUUUCAGAUUUAAAGCUGGAGCGAACGAAUACAUCCUUGAAGGGAUUUGGAGGGGGACGGUUAACUCCCAUGGGGGUCAUUGAACUCCCGAUUACUGUAGGGACAAAGCCACUUGAAAGAACGAUGAUGCUGGACUUUGUAGUGGUAGAGGAAAGAAGUCCUUACCAGAUGAUAUUGGGGAGACCGUUCAUGAGGAUAAGCCAAUGUGUAAUGUCAACGCAUUAUCUGGCGCUGAAGUACAGAAUAAAUGGAGUUGUGGGUGUAGUAAAGGGCGACCAGAGAAUGGCCAGGAGCUGCUAUGCUACAGCGGCCAAGGAAACGCUGCAAGUUACCUCUCUAGAUAACCGAGGGGAUUCAAAAAAUGGUCGUCAGGAACCGGUUGAGAAGCUGGAGGAAGUUGUUGUAAGAAGGAGUGACCCUAGCAGAGUUGUUAAGGUCGGAUCAGAAUUGGGUAGAGAAAUAAAGACAGAGCUGGUGAAGUGUCUACAGUCCCAUGCAGACGUAUUUGCUUGGUCUCAUGAGGAUAUGCCAGGUAUUGAUCGCGGGAUAGCUUGUCACAAGUUGGCGGUCAAGAGAGGGGCAAAGCCGGUGAGACAGAAAAGGAGGUGCUUCAACCACGAAAGGUACGAAGCCAUAAAUGCCGAGGUGGAAAAGCUGCUGAAAGCAGGAUUUAUAAGGGAAGCUAAGUACCCGGAGUGGAUUUCCAAUGUGGUAUUGGUAAAGAAGGCCAAUGGGAAGUGGAGAAUGUGUGUAGACUUCACGGACCUCAAUAAGGCAUGCCCGAAGGACAGCUUUCCCCUGCCAAAAAUAGAUCAGCUGGUGGACUCAACCGCGGGUCAUAGUCUGCUUAGUUUCAUAGAUGCCUUCUCCGGAUACAACCAGAUACCCAUGAACGAGCAGGAUGAGGAAAGCACCACAUUUAUAACUAACAUGGGUUUGUUUUGUUACAGGGUGAUGCCCUUUGGCCUGAAAAAUGCAGGAGCUACCUAUCAAAGGUUAGUGAACAAGGUCUUCAAACCAUUGAUCGGUCGCACUAUGGAAGUAUAUGUGGACGAUAUGAUCACCAAGUCAAGAGAACCGAAAGACCAUGUGAAGCACUUGGAAGAGACUUUCGAAUUGCUGAGGAGGUACAAAAUGAAGCUGAACCCGGAGAAAUGUGCAUUUGGGGUCAGCUCGGGCAAAUUUUUAGGAUACCUGGUGAGCCAUCGAGGUAUUGAAGCCAACCCAGAAAAGAUACGGGCAGUGAUAGAAAUGAGGUCCCCACGAACAGUUAAGGAGGUGCAGAGCCUUACGGGGAAGUUGGCAGCAUUGAACCGAUUCAUUUCGCGAGCCACUGAUAAAUGUCACCCUUUCUUCCAAGUCAUAAAGAAAGGGAAGAAGAUGGAAUGGACACCGGAAUGCGAGGGGGCAUUUGGACAGCUGAAGGAAUAUCUAGCCCACGCCCCGUUACUAUCAACUCCGAGAGAGGGUGACCAGCUGCUCUUAUACUUGGCAAUCUCUAAGCAGGCUACCAGCUCGGUCUUAGUCAGGGAAGUAGAAGGGAAGCAACACCCGGUAUACUACACAAGCAAGGCCCUGGUGGACGCAGAAACCAGAUAUCCACUAAUGGAGAAGUGGGCGCUGGCUUUGAUAACGGCAGCACGCAAACUCCGACCAUACUUCCAAGCCCACCAGAUCGUUGUGAUGACUGACCAGCCACUUCGGCAAGUACUUCAAAAACCAGAUGCGUCUGGUCGGUUAGUAAAAUGGUCCGUGGAGCUGAGCGAAUUUGACCUGUCCUACAGGCCCCGAGGAGCAAUCAAGGCCCAAGCCCUGGUAGAUUUUAUGGUGGAUCGUGUUGAACCGGGGGAAGAGGUCCAAGAGGAACAAUCGGUAGAGCACGAGGAUUCAAAGGAGAUAUGGCUGGUAAUGGUUGACGGAUCAUGUAGUGAGCAAGGAUCCGGAGCAGGAGUUGUAAUACGGAGCCCAGAGGGAACCGAGGUAACAUACGCGGUGAAGUUCGAAUUUCAGCUCACAAACAACCAAGCUGAGUAUGAAGCCUUUAUCACCGGGCUCGGACUUGCACACGCUCUCAGAGCAGAGAGAGUAGAAAUUCGAGCAGAUUCCCAAUUGGUGUGUAAUCAGCUCAAUGAUCAGUUUCAAGCGAGGGGAGAGAAGAUGAGUCUUUAUUUGAAGAAGGCGAAGCAGAUGGUUGGGCUUUUCCAAGCAGUGGAGGUAAAGCAGAUAUCCCGGAAUGAGAAUUUCCGAGCCGAUAUGCUGGCUAGGAUGGCAGCCAUCGCAGAUCCAAAAUUACCGAAGUCAGUUCCACUAGAGGUAAGGACCUCACCAAGUAUUGAGGAAGAAGCAGAGGUGAUGAGUGUAAAUAUUGGAGAAUCCUGGAUGGACCCGAUUCGCGCAUAUGUCCGCGAUGGAGUUUUACCGAAAGACAAAAGGCAAGCAAGAAAGUUAAAAUGCCGAGCAGCGAGGUACACGCUACUAGAUGGAGUGCUAUACCGCCGAGGGUUCACCUUACCCCUUUUGAGAUGUUUGGAUGAUGAGGAGGCGGAUUAUGUGCUGAGAGAGAUUCAUGAGGGAAUAUGCGGCAAUCACUCGGGAGCAAGAACUUUAGCCUUCAAGGCACUCCGGCAAGGAUACUUUUGGCCAACCAUGCACCAGGAUGCCAAAAGGAUGGCCAAGAAUUGUAAAACAUGCCAAAGCUUCUCCGAGGUUCCUGCACAACCACCGGAGAAACUGACGGCUAUGACAUCCCCAUGGCCUUUCGCUCAAUGGGGAAUCGACUUGAUUGGUCCAUUACCAAAGGGACGAGGAGCGGCGACACAUGCAAUCGUGGCAAUAGACUACUUCACCAAGUGGGUGGAAGUAGAAGUCCUCAGCCAGAUCACAGAGAGGAAGACAACAUAUUUUAUUUGGAAAAACAUCAUCUGCAGAUAUGGGAUCCCCUACGCCAUCAUCACAGACAAUGGGAGGCAAUUUGACAACGGCAACUUCAGGGAAUUUUGCCGAAACCUGGGGGUGGACCUGAAGUUCUGCACCCCCACACACCCCCAGGCAAACGGGCAAGUGGAAGCAGCCAACAAGGUGAUAAAGAAGCUCCUAAAGACUAGAUUGGGGGAGAAGAAGGGAGCUUGGGUUGACGAGCUACCAGGGGUACUGUGGGCCUACAGGACAACUCACAAAACCGCCACAGGAGAAACACCGUUCGCUUUAGCUUUUGGUCAUGAGGCGGUAAUCCCAGCAGAGAUUGGAGUGGGGACACAUAGAACGGAACAUUUCGUUGAGGAGCAAAAUGACGAGCAGAUCUGCUUAAGCCUAGACCUGCUGGAGGAGAAAAGGGAAGGGGCCUCGCAGAAAGUGGCCCAAUGUCAGCAAAGGGUCAUGCGUUAUUACAACAAGAAUGUAUGCGUGAGGCAGUUCCGAGCAGGAGAUUGGGUACUUAGGAAGGUGAACCAGAACACCAGGAAUCCUAACCAUGGCGCUCUUGGCCCAAAGUGGGAAGGCCCAUACCGAGUGAUACGACCCACUGGACCAGGAGCAUAUAAAUUAGCGUGCCAAGACGGACGAGACGUGAAGAGAUCAUGGAACGCCGAACACCUGAAGAAGUACUUCCAGUAAGCAAAAUGCUCUAUUAAAUCCUCACUCUGGCAAGUUAUUUCUGUUACAAUGCCUGAUGGCCUGUCGCACAUGCAUAUAUUCUAUGUUUUUGUAAUACAUUCAAAUUUCAAUAAAGAUGAAUUCAGCAUGAAAUCCCCCUGCUAGCAAGAUCAAUAAAAAUUUCACUAAGACAAGUGCUACUUCUGCUCGGUCAACGAAGACCAGCAGCUAAAGCUUCAAAAUUUAUACUAAGGCAUCAAAGUGCCUGUUUCUGCUCGGUCAACGAAUGACCAGCAGCUAAAGCUACGAACACUCUCCUAGGGCAAGUGCCUACUUCUGCUCGGUCAACGAAGACCAGCAGCUAAAUCCUCGAAAGUUCACUAAGGCAAGUGUCUACUUCUGCUCGGUCAACGAAGACCAGCAGCUAAAGCUUCAAAAUAUCUACUAAGGCAACAAAGUGCCUGUUUCUGCUCGGUCAACGAAUGACCAGCAGCUAAAGCUACGAACACUCUCCUAGGGCAAGUGCCUACUUCUGCUCGGUCAACGACAGACCAGCAGCUAAAGCUACGAAAACUCUACUAAGGCAAGUGCCUACUUCUGCUCGGUCAACGAAUGACCAGCAGCUAAAGUUACGAAGAUUCUACCAAGGCAAGUAAGUGCCUACUUCUGCUCGGUCAACGCAAGACCAGCAGCUAACUCUACAAGAAAUCUACUAAAGCAAAUGCCUACUUCGGCUCGGUCAACGAAGGACCAGCAGUUAAUCCUACUAAAAUUUUACUAAGAUACAAUCUAUGAGCAAAAACCGGACAAGAAAGCAAAUAAAGAGCAUUUAAAAAUCUUUUUAUAAAUGUUCAAUUGUUUACAAAACAAAUGCAAAUCUAGAGUCUAUACAAAAAUAGGCUCAAAGAUUAGAAGGGUCAACGGCUUCAGCAGGUGAAGGAUCAGUUGUCCCAGGAGGUGGAGGAUCAGCAAUACUGGGAGGAGGCGGCAUGGAUCCUUGUCCCAUUUCAAAAGCACGUUCCCCAGCUCCCCCCUCCUGCACCUCAUAUAAAGGAGCCUCCACCUGAUUCUGCUCACCUUGCUCCUUAUCUCCCUGGCCGACCCCAGCCAUGUACCUCUCCACUCCAGCCUCCAGCUUGCUCAUAUCCAGCUCGGGAUAUUCUUCCUUAAGCACAGACAUGAUGCACUUAUAGGAGAAGGCAACCCCAGAGUCAUACUCGGCAUCCAGCCGAUCGUCCACAUCAGCAGAUUUGCCUUUCUCCUCAGCCAGCUGCUCACCCAAGGAUUUGAUUUCCCCCUCAAGGGCAGCCCUCAGAGUAUCCCUUUCAAUUUGAGUAGCCUGAAGAUCAGAUCUCAGGUCACCCAACUCGCCCUCAAGCUUGGAGGAAGUGGACUCAGCAACAGCAACUUUCUCCUCAAGCUCCGUAAGCUGUUUGUUCAGCUCGGCCAGUUUCUCCUUGGAGCGGUCAGCAGAUUCAACUUUCUUUUUCAACUCUUGGUUAUCAGCCUGGAGCUUCUUCUCAUGACGCGCGGACCCGAUCUUGUAGCACGAGACCAUUGUGGCCAGCCUGAAGGAGACUCUCUGAACAGAAGCAGCCAAAUCGGAGAGGCUCAUGCUCUCGAUGUCCUUCACCAUCUUAGGCCCAACCGAUUUUUUAUAAUCCUUCUGAUAUGGACUCAGGUAAUCACCUUGAUCCCGAGAUGGGAGAGGAGAAGAUCGGUCCUCAGAUUGCAAGCUGACCUCAGGACUCUUGUCAGAGGUUUUCUCCCCACCACUCUUACGAGGUGGAGGAGGAGGCAGAGCAGGAACAGGCGCCUUGGAAGGACCGACGGUAGGUUUCUUCGGAGGAGGAGGCGGGUUGCUGGAGCUGCUCGGGGCCCGACCACGCUUCCUGCUCAUCGCGCUGAGGAUCUUGUUAUCCAUUCCAGCGGCUAUAUCCACUAGGCCCGAACCGACCAAGUUUGUGGGAGACAGGAGGUCUUGGCAAGUAGAAGCGUUCACCAGAGCAGUUUCCACCUGAAGCAAGGGUCGAUCUUCAAGCCCCCCGAUCAAAUCCCAUGACUCUGAAAUAACAAACAAGGUUAAAGAACCCAAUAAGUGGCAGUUCGAAAAAGAAUACAGGCAAAAAAUGAACGACCUGGGGUGACAAACUGCGUUGGUAGGUAAAGAUCACCACCCAACGAACGAAAUGCUGAACACCAUUUUCCCCCAGCAAAGAAGAAUUUGUUCUUCCAAUUCUUACACGAGGAGGGGAAACCGGUGAUUGGCUUUCUCUUUGCAGAACUGGACAUGAAGUAGUACCAGCCCGCCUCCCUUGGGCUGCUCCGCAGCUGAUACAAAUGCUUCACUUCAACAAGGGAAGGCUCCUCCAACCCGCACCUCUCCCACAACACAAACAUAGCCGAUAGAACCCUCCACUCGUUCGGGUGUAGCUGACCUGGGGCCAGGUGCAUACCUCCCAAUAUCUUGGCAAAAUAACGCUGAAGGGGCAGCCGAGCUCCAGUUUAAAACUCUCUAGGUGCAUCGUCACAUACCCCCGCGGAGGCCGACUAGGAACGUCACCCUUCCCAGGGACUACAAGAAGAACAUCGUUGGGGAUGUUGUAGAGAUUCCUAAGUUUAAAUAGAUCGGUGGGGGUGGUGGCACAAACCAUGAAGUCAAUAGGGUAGGAAUCAGCCUCCACCCUAUGGCCUAGUUUCCUUUUCUGAGCAGGUCUGCUCGGUCCGGAACUGCUCCCCUCACCAUCACUAACUCCUUCAGGGACCCCAACCCCACCAGAACUGUGAUUCUCACCAGAGCCCGACGCAGGUCCACCUCUAUUCCCUACAAGCUCUAGUUCGGGGGAAGAAGAGAUAACCAAAGGGCGUGGGUAUUCAAGGGUAUCCCUGCCAUGGGAAGGACCUACACUACUGGAGGGGUCUAAGUAAUCAGUGGGUAUUGGCACAUUGAGACCUGAGUCCCCUGACUCUUCAUCACCCUCAUCAACAAUUAACUUCCUCUUCCGAUUUGACAUACCGAAAUCCCCAAGAGAAAACAGAGAAAAUUCGAGUAUAUGGACACAAAGAAGGCAACACAGAACCCAAUCAACAACAACCAGAGGAAAGGGUUAAAGACUAUACCUGGAAUAGACUGACACUGAUAGCGCUGCCGUGACAGAGAAAACACCCGGCGAAUGGAUACUCCGGACGCUGGAAGUGUGAGCAAAGUUCAGAGAAAAUUUGGUUGACGGCGGAGAAACGAAUAGCAAGAUAAAGAUGACUCCAGUCUAGGGAUUUGAAACGAAAAGGGGGAAAUGGAAGCAUUUAAGUGAUGGGAUAUGCCAGCUCACCCCCCCAUAUAUCGAGGACGGAUAGUCCGUCGUUUCAAAUUUCAAAUACGAAGAGUCUGGAGAUGCCACGUCACCAACCGUUACAAGAGGCCAGGUUAGAAGUAAGCCCAGAUAUGCUAUGGGCAGGUUCACUUAGGCCCACGCUCAGGUCGGAGUCUCCUCAGUAGAGAAAUGGUACAUCAGGUCAGGCCCGUCUCAAUAAAAAGAGGAUCAGACGAGAAGCUCACCGGGCUGGUGAGAUUUGACCAUCAGUUUCUACUCUUAACUCAUUUCACUCGCCAGACCAGAAACUGGGGGACUGGUGUUGAGUACAUAAAGGCACCAGGUCGGCCAUGCUACUGGUUCUGCCCCGGCACGGAUCGUUUCAACUAUAUGGUACGAGCAGAACACGGGGUUAAACAGGAGCCGACCCGAGAUGAGUGCGACCAUGAAAACAUACUGACCAGAAGUAUACGCCGAGCCGAUACUCAUCCCCAGGAAAGCGGGAACACGAUCUCACAAAAUCGCGGUAGUUGCGCUUCUCCCAGAACGGUUGAAGGACACGCGAGAUCCACGUUUGCCCACAAUCUAACAGUUAGAGUCCCAUGAGGGGUUACCACCACCCGAAAAAGGAGGGAUAAGGGGCAAACGAAAAACGUGGGACAAAGGGCGGCUAUAAAAGAGAAAGACAUGGAAGAAGACAGGACAGAAAAAAUUGAGAGAGGGGAAACGCUGCCAAAUUCCAACCAGGCCAUUUCCUUACAAAUUUCUUAAAUCCAUAUUACACUGUUUUCCCGUAAACACCUUGUGCUAACUUAGGCAUCGGAGGGUUUACGCCGGUAAAACCACCGGCGUCUCUGAUCCGUGUUUGCUGAACGCAGGUCUAGUGAGAGAGGGAAGGGCGAUUCCAACCCCAGUGGUUCGAGUGACAGUUGAUAACACAAACGUUGAUGACAGAAUCUGGUCGGUCCAAGGGCGAGCAGAUUUCAGCAUCAACACUAUUGGCAAAGAGUGUCCACACGGAUGUGAUCAAAACUGCAUUAACACAAGCAUGGAAAACAACAAAAGAGGUGAAGAUUGAGAGCAUGAGAAACAAUAUUUUUCGGUUCAAAUUUGGGUUAGAAGUUGAUAAACAGAAAAUAAUGGCAGGAGAGCCAUGUCAUUUCGAUAGGGCUCUGAUUGUGUUGAAAGAACCCAAUGGAAUAGGAAACAUGAGAAAGGAAGAAUUCACGCAUACAUGUUUUUGGGUACAAACUCACAAUAUACCCAUAGUUUGCAUAGAGAGAGAGAGACAAUGUUCAAAAGCUGGGAGGACUGAUUGGAGAGGUGUUGGAAGUUGAAAUUGAUGAUGACAGGGAGUGUAUUGGUUUGUAUGCAAGAGUCAGAAUAUCCAUUGACAUCACAAAGCAAUUACAGAAAAUGGUUGGAGCUAGAAAAAGAUGAUAAGGUGGAGUUGCCAGUAUUGUAUGAACGGCUCCCAGAUUUCUACUUUUGCUGUGGUACCAUUUGGUACCAAUUUAAAGAGUGUGAAUCAUACAUAGGGCAACCAAAAAAAAAAAUUGCCCUAUGGAGUGUGCAUGAAGGCAUUGUCCAAAGUUGAAAAAACUAGGCUGAACAGGGGAAAAGAUAGAUGGAAUAGAAGGUUUGAGCAGCUCAAUAACGAACCAAAGGAAGCAGAACACCAUGGGAGAAGGCAGGCAAAACAAAUUGGUUUAGACCUGUAUAAACAUGAACUCGAGUCAAACUAAUCUAUUUCGGGGAGAUCAUGAUAGUUAAACAAGGAAAAUUGGGGAGUAAUUAAUGCAAAUGACUCUAGAACCAAGAAAUCAGAAAGACACGGUCAAAAGUAACCUAACAUGGCUGAUACCGAAAAUACAGCCGACAACUUAAACAAUCAUGGAAAAAAGAAAGAAAAAGCGGGAACAUAGAAUUGAGAGGGAAUAAAGUUAAAUUUGGUGCUAAAUUUGAAGCCAAAAUUAACUCUAAAUACAAGCCCAAAAAAAUAUUAAAGCAACUCAAGCCCAGAAGAAGUAGUAUGUGAUGGACCGAAAACAAAGAAUACUAGGCCUAAGAGAAAGAAGUGAAAGCUGCAAGCUAGUAGUGUAAGUAGCAAAGGACACACAAAAGAAGGGCUAAUUGUGGGAAAAAGACUAGGUUGUGGAGUAAUAAGGUCAAGCCUAAAUCCUAAAAAAAAAACCCAAAUCCGAAGCCCACAGAAAAACUCAAUAGCUAGAGAAAGCUCCUGCAAUACAUCUCCUCUUAGCUAUAAGCUCAACUGGGUUGUUUUAAGAAUGGAGAAAAUGAUAAAAACACAAACAAUGCAACUCAAUCGGCGGAGGCAGAACACCAACCCUGCCGACAACUAUGAGGAUUCCAAGCUGGAACGUUCGGGGGAUGGGGAAUGACCGAACGUUCAUAGCUCUCCAAAAAUUCCUCACAUUGUAUAGGCCUCAAUUAAUGUUUCUAUGUGAAACUAAAUUGACAUCUGUACACAUGGAAAAUGUUGGCAAGAAGCUGAAGUUUGAAAAUUGUUUUUGGGUUAGUAGAAGUGGUAAGAAUGGGGGUCUAGCUAUGCUUUGGAAUUCAGCAACAAGGGUAGAUAUCACCUCUUUCAGUAAACACCGCAUAGAUACUGAGGUAGAACUGAAAGUGGGAAGUAGAUGAGAUGCACUAGAAUCUACGGGCACCUAGAAACGAGUCAGAAAAAACACACCGGGACUUUAUUAAGGAGAUUAACAGGUUUAUCUUCACCCCUUUAGUUAUGCUUUGGCAAUUUCAAUGAGAUAAUGCACUUAGAUGAAAAAAAUGGAGGAAAAGACAGGGAGGUUCAUAUGAUUAAAGAGUUUCGAAAUGAUGUUCAGGAUUACAAUUUGAAAGAUUUGGGUUAUACAAGACACCAUUUUACAUGGUCGAAUAGGAGAUUUGGUAGCCACUUUGUUGAAAAACGUCUAGAUAGAUUUUUAUGUAGUAAUGAUUGGACAAAUUCUUUCUAAAACCAAGCUGCAAAAAAAUCUGAUUAUAUGGUGCUCAGACCACAAUCCGAUUUUGAUGGAAGUGAUAAGCAGAGCCAAUAGAAAGACAUAUAAUAAAAGAACCUUUUCAAGAACCCAUUAUGAAGACAUGUGGAGCAACUAUGAUGAGGGUAAGAACAUUGUAAAGGCAGAAUCGACCAAAGACUGGUCAGGGGAUAAUGCAGUGCAGUUUUUUAAACAAGCCAGCAAAUCUUAACUAACUGAAUUAGUACACUGGAGUAAGAAAACUUUUAAAGGAAGCAAGAAGAAAUUAGAGAAGCUGAGGAACAGAAUAUAAGAGCUCUAGUAGGAAAGACAGUGGGAUAAGGGUGAAGAAUUGAUAAGCAUUGAGAGGCAGAUCCAUAACCUCCUUUUAGAUGAAGAGAUCUUUUGGAAACAGAAAGAGGUUUAGGGCUGAUUGAUUGAGGGAGGGAGAUAAAAGCACCAAAUUCUUCCACUCAAAAGCUUCAUCUAGAAAGAGGAAGAACAAAAUUUGAGGAGUUGAAGAUGCAUAGGGAAAAUGGGUAGAAGAAAAUGAAGAUAUUGAGAAAGAGUUCUGCGGUUACUUUGCAGAGUUAUUUUCAACUUCCAACCCUACUCAAGAUCAAAUGGAGUGUGCUUUGAAAGAAAUGGUCUCAAAAGUUUCAGCUUAAAUGAAUGAGUAUCAGACUCAACCAUAUACAGAGGAAAAGAUAAUAGAGGCUCUAAAUCAAAUGCGUCUAACCAAGACACUAGGCCCUGAUGGGCUACCGACUGCCUUUUAUUGGAAGCACUGGCCAUUAGUUAACAUCACCACAUGUUUUCACAUCCUCAAUGAAGCAAGUAACAUUGCUCCUCUGAACCACACAUACAUUGCUUUAAUUGCCAAUAAUGCAAAGCUUAGGAAAGUGACUGAAUUUAGACCAAUAAGUCUUUGUAAUUUCAUUUAUAGGAUUUGUAAAACUAUUGCAAAUAGAUUGAAAACUAUCCUACAUGUUGUAAUUGAUUCUUCGUAGAGUGCUUCUAUCCCCAACAAAUUGAUAAUGGAUAAUAUCAUUGUUGGGUAUGAAUGCCACCAUAAGAUUAGGCAUAACAAAGGAAAAAAAAAUGGCUUGGUGGCUCUGAAGUUAGAUAUCAACAAAGUUUACGAUAAGGCAUAGUGGGAUUUUUUAAAGGAGACAAUGAUCAUAUUAGGUUUUGCUAAGAAGUUGAUAAAUUUAAUUAUGAAUUGCAUUACUACGUCAUACUUUUCUAUAAUCAUAAAUGGAAUACCAAAUGGCAAGAUUAUUCCUAAAAGGAGCUUGAGGCAGGGAUGCCCUUUAUCUCCUUAUCUGUUUAUAAUAUGUGCAAAUGCUCUUUCAAAUUUGUUGAUUCAGGCUGAGAGAAGAAAGUUAAUACAUGGGUUGAAAUUUGGAAAGCAUAUCUCUAUUUCUCACCUCUUAUUUGCAUAUGACAGCCUAAUUUUUUUUUUCCAAAGCCUCAAUUAAAGAUUUCCAGCAUCUAAAAGAUUUGUUCGAUUGUUAUGCCACUGCCUCUGGCCAAAUUUUUAAUUUUGAAAAGUCAUGCAUGUUCUUCAGCGGCAGUGUUUGUGCAAACCAAAUUUCGGCCAUUAAAAGAAUAUUUCAGCUCAAUGUGGUAACGAAGCAUGAGAAGUACUUGGGGCUGCCCUCAAUGAUAAAGAGGAAAAAGAAAAAAAUUCUUCAAUAAGAUUAAGCUAAAAGUCCAGAGCAAGAUCUCUAGUUGGCAAUAAAAACUUUUCUCGAGUUGAGGAAAAGAUGUCCUGAUAAAAGUAGUGGCACAACCAGCUUAUGCAAUGAGUGUCUUCAAGAUACCUAUUGGUGUGUGUGAUGAUAUUUAGUGAGCAAUAAAAAGAAGGAAAAAAAGGGGCAUCGUUUGGAUCAGAGGGGAGAAGAUGAGUCAAGCUAAAAUUUGAGGGGGAAUGGGCUUUAGAGACAUAUCAAGUUUUAACCAAGUCAUGGUAGCUAAGCAAGGAUAGAGAUUGAUUCAAAAUCCAGAUUCCCUUGCAGCUACUGUUUUAAAGGCUAGGUAUUUUCAAGAAGACUGAUUUUCUAAAUGCUUCAAUGGGGUCAAACCCAUCUUAUAUUUAGAGAAGCUUACUUUGGGGUCGACAAGUAAUUCUUAAUGGAUAUAGAUAGAGAAUUGGUAAUGGGUAAAACAUCUUAGCCUACAAAGGAAAUUGAAUUCCAAGACCAUCCACUUUCAAACCGUUUCCUAGUCCAAGGAUGCCUUUUGAUGCUAUUGUUUCAGAGUUGAUAGACAAUGAAAGCAGAUGGAAGACUGACUUGAUCCAAAAGAUGUUUUUAAAGGAAGAUGUAUAUGCAAUUCUCAAUAUUCCUUUGCCAAAAGGACAAAGCAAAGAACAAGCCAUCUGGCAUUAUGACAGAAAGGGGAAAUACUCGGUCAAGAGUGGAUACCAAGUGGCUAUAAAUAUGAAAAUUUUGAAUUCACCAAAUUGCUCCAACAGUAAAGGCAGAAAUUGGAAUAUCAUUUAGACCCUUACCAUCCCAAAAAAAGAUUAAGAUUUUCAUUUGGAAAGCAAUUAAAAACUUACUACCGACAGUUGAUAAUUUGUGGAAGCGUAGAAUUAUUCAGGAAGGUCACUGCAAGCAUUGUAGAAAUAGAGUGGAAAAUAUUAUGCAUGCCAUGGUCACUUGUAAAGCAGCAAGAAAGGUUUGGCAGCUUUCAUCAAUGGUGAAUGCAAGUCAACAGAUGAGAAAUGCAAACCUCUUGGGGGAUUUGAUGAUGCUUCAGAAGAAAUUAAGUAAAGCUGAACUUGAGCUUGUGGCGUCAAUUUGGUGGGUGAUUUGGCAUGCUCAGAAUAAAUUUGUAUCUGAAGGUGUAAAAUUGGAUCAAGGAUUGCAAAUGGCCAAAGCUGAAGCAGUCAAUGAAGUUUUUAAAAGAACAAAAUUUCCAGAGAUGUUGAAUCUAGGAAAAAUGCAGAAGGAAAAACCAAAAUCCUGGACCCCUCCACCCGAUGGAUGGCUAAAGAUAAAUGUUAAUGCAACUACUGACACCAAAAGACAAUGCUCGGGAUUGGGAGCAAUAAUCAUAGACUCCACUAGAAAGUGCUUAGCUGUAGCUAUAAAAACCUCAAGGUUUGGGAGAGAUGUAACAUAUGUGGAAGUAGAAGCAGCUGAGUAGGGCAUUAAAAUAGCACAGGAAGCAGGUCUACAGUCAGUUAUCCUAGAAACUGAUUCUCAUGAAGUACCAGAAUUGAUAAACAAUAGAGAAGGCAGCCUAACAGAAAUAUAUUUGGUCCUUGCGGAAAUUCAAGACUUAAAGAAGAAUUUUAAAGCCUUUAAAGCACAAUAUGUCCCUAGAUCAUUUAAUGAGUGUGCCCAAUCUUUAACUAAGAUGGCUAUUGAAAAAUUUGAAUCUAUUGUUUGGGUGGAGAAUUUUCCUCCUGAAAUUUUGUAAGUUUUCACUUCGUUGAAUUAAUAAAAGUUUUACUUUCCCAUAAAAAAAACUGGUAAAACCACGAAUGCUACUAUAUGUGAAGAUUGCCAUAUAUGAAAUUUUAUAAAAAAAAUGAAUCUUAUUUUCAAUGUGAAGAUUAUCAAAUAUAGAAUUUUUAUUAAGAAAAAAUUCUUAAUUUUUGGAUAAUUAUGAAUGGGAGUAAUAAUAUGGAGAUAUCUAAAAAUUAGACUUCCUUAUAUAUGCAACUUAAAUAACAUCUUUGAAAUGUUAGAAGAAUAAUUAUUCAUUAGUGUAUUAAUCAAAUAAAUUUCAAAUAUUGGGGUCUUCCUAAAAAUUGGAGCAUCAUUUAGUUAACCUAAUACUAAAGUCGCUCUUGAAUCUGUUAUGGAAGCCAUGCUAAAUUUCAAGGGUUUAAGAUUCUUAGAAAAGGCUAUGUUGAUCCCAAAUGGUACAAACAGGAACUUCCUAAUGUGAAUUGAAUGGAUACUCAAUCCUCUGAUGGCCAAGAGUUUAAGACCUCGUAUUAAUUGUUCCAUAUCUUGAUCUCAUUGAGUUUACUAAGACCAACUAACUCGAGACCUUUAAUCAUCUCCAAUCUCUUAGACUUAUAACCUCAAUCAUGGACACCCAACAAUUAAAUUUUUAAUAAAACUUUUAAUAACAUGAUCAUCUACUUCAACUGACAACAGAUAUAAUUGUUUCAAAGAAGCUAAUAUCACGCUUGCUGGUAACUCAAGCUUACAACCAUUUAACACUAAGGGAAUGCCUAUUUGGAAUUGAGGUGUUGUACAUUUUAAGUUACAUCUUCUGUAGAAAAAAAAAACUAUAAUUAUGAAGUAAAAGUUAAUAUUAUGUUGUAAACAUAAUUUUUUAACUAUAAUUUUAACAAAAUUAGUAAAGAUAUAAUAGAUAUUUCAUCAUACAUGUAUACUGUCAAAUUAACUUAACUUCUAAGUUACAGUAAAUUGUGUUUACCAAACAUUUUGGUGCUAUACUUUUUAAGCUCCAACUACUCAACCUCAAUCCUAAAUAAAACAGUAGUUAACGAUUUCAUACAAGAAACCAUUUAACAUUAUUCUCAAUUGCAUAGCAAAUGCGUUGGUGAUGAAUAGUGCUUUUAUUUUGUUACAGUGCACAUAAAUAUGAUGAAAAAACUUUGAAUCAAGUACCAAAAAUGGGAAUCUAAGCCAUGCUUGUUCCCACGUUUUAGAUAAAACGCUUUUUUCAACUACUUGUUUGAACGGGAGUAAUGACAAAAUAUGAUGCCUACGUGCUUUUGCAAAUUAGAUAUCCUUUUUCUUUUUCAGUUAUUCUCCCAACAUCACAGGCCUCCCUCAAUUAACCACUCUCAAGCAGAUUAAUAAAUUUAUUAAUUAUAUAGAUCAUGUUCUUACUCAUCAACAACAUAAUUAGAACUGAAUCUAAAUCGAAAUUAUUUUGAAUUAAUAUGGAUUAUGAUAUCUAGGCAUGCAUGGACAAAUUGAAAUUUAGUCUAAUUCAGUUUAAUUUAUUCUUUAAUGAGAAAAUAAAUUCGAACAAAAAUGACCCACAAAAGAUAAUUACAGAGAAACAUACAAUAUACAUUUAGAAAUUAGUUUAAGAAAUAUAAUAUCUGUCAACUAUCAACAAUCUCGCCGUCUAAAGCAGCAGCAAAAAUCAGCAAAAAUAUAAUAAUGGUUCUCAAACAUUGUUAAAUCCCUUAACACUUUAGAAUAAAUCAAUAUAGGAAAUGAUUGGUAAAUGCUUAUUUAUUCUUUAUAUUUUGAGUUACGUGCUCAUUUAAUUUUUAUAUUUAAAAAAUAUAUUAAAACAAAAAAAAGACAACAAACAAACAAAAAAAAUGAAAAAAUGAUUUCCAGAGAAAGUCUUGAAACUCUUAUGACAUAGGAUCUUGGACGAUCUUAAAAGACAUUAUAAAAUAUAAAGGGCUAAACGGUCAUGAAUAUUUACCCGGAAAUAAAAAAUUAAUUUUUUUUGUAUUUUGUCUAAGUGAACAUUCAAACAUCAUUUAUUUUUAAAUUUCAAAAUUAUUUACUUUUAUAUGAUAUAUAUCAUAAUAAUUCAAAAAAGAAAAUUGUAUUUAUUCUAUCUCUAAAAUAAAUUAAAAAAAUUACAAACUAUUAAGAUAUAAUAAAUUAUUAUUAUUAUUAUUUUACUGAUGAUGAUGACAACGACGACGGCGACCAUGAUGAUGAUAUACGAAUAAAUAUUUGCUUUAAUAUUUUUUAAAAAAAUAUUUGUUAAGUAUAAAACUCUACUCAAGUCGAAUAAAUAUAUGUUCAAUACACUUGAGGUAUGGCUAAAUGUCAAAAACAACCACAAACAUGAGAAACUGGAUGCAAUAGUCCUUUCGUUUGUAAAAUGUUCGAUAGAACCUUUCGUCUUAAUUCGAUAAAAAUAUAAAAUAAAUUAGGAUUACGAGGUGGUUAAAAGACUACGAAUACAUUAAUCUUUUAUUAAAAAUUAUAAAUACGUUAAUCUUUUAUUAAAAAAUCAUAAAGACCCACAAUAUAUAGUACUCCGAUGCUAUUAUUUUUAUAGUGAGUGGUCUAAUGGUUAUAAUUCCAACUUCUUAUGGUUAAAUUUGUAAUUUCUUGGAUAACUUUGUCAGUUCGUUUGAUGACAAAGAUGAACUUGGACAUGUUUUCGUUUCAAUUAAGAGGGAUGCAUCAUUUUCUUUAAUAGUUUAUAAUAUUAAUUAUUGACCAUUGGGUGGUUUCUUUCUUUCUUUUAUCUUUUUUUUUUUAAUUUAGCAUUGACGUGUAGAGUUUCGUUUGUGUGACUAAACUAAAUACUUUAAAACUUAAAUAUAUAGGUUUUGUAAUGGAAAAGAAUAUAAGAAAGACGACUCGUUAGUGUAAAAAUAGAAAAACUUGCGACUUAAAACUAUAAGAAUUCAUCAAUAAUGAAAUUUUAGUCAUAUAGUAUUUGUAAUAUAUCUUUAACAUAGAUAACUAUACAACCUAAAAAGAACUCAUUUUUCUAUUUUAAUGUUUUGUAAUGUCUUCAUUGAGAUUCGCAGCUGAAAAUAUACGCUUGUUGAAAAAUCUCAUAAAUAAGUAAAACAGAAACUAUAUAUUAUGAUGAACAAAAAGGUUUAAUAAAUUUAUAAUAAAAUCUAAUUACCUUGAUUGAGAUGAUAACUAUGGAAAAUAGACCACUAGUGAAAGGGACAAGGUAGCACUUUUACUGGGUGAAGGAAAUUUGGGAAAGCGGAAAGCGAUUAAUUAAAAAAUUAUAACAAAAACUUUUCAUGUAGAGUAAUUUUUUUUAAUUAUUUUAGGGAAAUAAUAAAAAAUUUUAGGCCGGCAUCUCGAAUAUAAAGUAGUAAUAAAAUUAUUAAGCAUCAAAGAGUAAUGAUACAGCCACAAACUCUUGUACAAACUUAUUUUGUACAAAUUGACGUGGUAUUAAUUCAUUGGUUGAAUAAAAAUAUAAAUUAAUAAAAACAAAUCAUCUGGGCCAAGUAAUAUUUAAUUCAACCAAUCUUAUCAUGCCACAUCAGUUUGUACAAAAUAAUUUUAUACAAGAGUUUGUGGCUAUAUCAUUACUCAAGCAUCAAAUUAGGCUUAUAAAUCACCUUAUCACGGUUUUUCUUUACAGUGACAUGUGAUUUUUUUUUCCUAAUAAAGAAGAGAUCCCUUCAACUAAUUUCAAUAUUUUGAGUCUUAACAAAGACUGAUCACUUCCGUUUGAGUACAUUAUAGAUUAAUUUGUCAUUGCUGAAGUCACUCCAAUUAUAUGAUGUUUUGAUAUUCUUAAUUAAAACCAAUUUCAUGUUUCUUUAAAUAUAAUUUUUAAUUCUAUUUUACUUUCUUCGUUGGUACUAUUUGCUUUUUAAAUCAUUUAAUUAUGCAUAUUUUUUAGGCACCCUAAACUUUCAUUCCAUUAAAUAGAAUUAUUACAAUCAAUCAGUACAAUCAGCACAAUAACUUAGGGUUAUUCUACUAAUAAUGUAACUUUUAAAAUACUAUGCGUUUUAAAAAGUAUUAUGGGUUUUAAAAAUAAUCGUAUGUGUGCUAAAUUUUAUUGCUAAAUUGCUAUAAGAAUGUAAACGAUUGAACUAGACUUAAUGUUAAAUUGAAUUUAUUUAUAUAUUUAUAAAUAUGUAUAUAAAAUAUUUUUAUUUUGUAUAAAUGAUAAUUGAUAACUAAAAUAAAUAUUUUAUAUUAUUAAUUUUUUUGUUAUCUUAAUAUAAUGGGAAGUAAUAAUUUUUUUAAGUUAAUGAUUUUAUUUCCUAAUUAAAAAGGAUAAUUUUAGAUUUAUAUAAUAAAUUUGAGAAUACGUAUGAAAUUAUGUUAGGUAUAAAAUUGAUUCUUAAAUCAAAUUUUAAAAAACUACUUAUUCUCAAUUUUUUAAAAUCCAUUAUAAAAUUAAACUAAGCUUACCAAAAAUAAUUUUAAAAAAUUAUCAAAAUCUAAAAUUAACUAUUAACUUUUAAAAACUAUUUUUAAAUUUCUCAACAAUAAUUCCAAACAGCCCUUAGAAUCUCAUUAUUAAAAAUAAAAGCAUAUUGGUUGGUUGUUCAAAGACAGGCAACAGCAGCCGGCUACGUACUUGCAAACGUCACGUGCCAGCGAUUAAAAGCAUUUUAAACAUAUGUGAACAUUGAAUCCAAUGGCAAUGGAGACUGAUUCGACCCUCGUGGAAUUUUUUCAUAUUCCAAAACGGUCGACCCAUUUCGGUCUAUAAAUACCCAAUUGAACCCUUCCGUUUCUUUAAUCAUUUUAUUUUCAGUCGCGUUAAGGAUUCUCAAUUUGCUUGUAAUUCUACUAAACAUGGGAAACAGAGCAGAGGAGGCUAAGCAAAAUCAAGAAGAGAACAACGGUAACAUGGCCAUUGAAACUCCCAUCAUCCCUCUUGUCACUCCUUACAAUAUGGGCAGUCUCAAUCUUUCUCAUAGGUACCGAUUGUACCCACCUUUUAUUUCAUUGAGUUUUUUAUUUUUAUUUUUUUGGAUUUACAUUUUCUUUCGCUGUAUGGAUUUUUGUAUGGCGUUAACUUUAUUGACGAAAGUGACAUCUGCCAAAGUACAUUUGAGUGACGAGCAUUCACAUCAUAAGCACUCAGAUUCUCACUGUUUAUCCAGGGCUCAGCGCAAACUCAGUCGACCACUGAAUCCUUGUCCAUUUAGAAUGAAUGGAUUAGUGAAUAUUUGGAAUGGAUUAGGAAAUAUUUGGGAUUUAGUUACUGUGGUUUUUAAUUCACAGUCUCUAUGUGGAGUGAAUCAGUAGCUAUCGAGUAAAACUGUUGGUGUUUACGGAACACUUUUUAACUGUCCUUUUUUGGUAAUUAAGCAGAAGCACGCCCGGUUAUUAACUUAUAAUACCCUUAACUGAUUAGAAUGUAUGAUCUGAUUUAGUUUCUGUAUCUUCUUUGUAUUUGUUCGUUUGGUCUAUGAUCUGACUGAGAGUUUUACAGAGGCAGUUUAAGUGUAAUGUUGCAAUUUUAUGGGUUUUUUUCUUUUGAGUUUGAGUUAUUGGUGAUGGGGCUAAUUGAAUUGCGGCUUGCUUGUUUUGUUUAUUUCAGAGUUGUUUUAGCACCACUGACUAGACAGAGAUCAUACAACAAUGUUCCUCAGCCACAUGCCAUUUUGUAUUACUCUCAAAGAACCACCAAAGGGGGUUUGCUUAUAGCCGAAGCCACUGGAGUUUCCGACACUGCUCAAGGGUAAUUUUACAUCCGUUUAGCUGUUUUAAGAGUUUUUUGAGGCAUUAAAUGGAUAAGAAAUUGUAUGUUUGAGUUUCGAAAGCAUUACCUGUAUUUAGUUGCUUGAAAAUCUUGUGUGUUCUGUUGUUUCUUUUAUUGUAAGGUAUCCAGAUACACCUGGUAUCUGGACAAAGGAGCAAGUUGAAGCAUGGAAACCGAUUGUAGAUGCUGUUCAUGCCAAAGGUGGGAUCUUCUUUUGUCAGAUUGGGCACGUUGGCAGGGUUUCAAAUCAAGGUGUGUUCUAUAUCUCUCUCUUCUAUUGACAGUUACUGGUUACUUAGUUAUCAGGAUCAUACAUACAUUUUAUUUCUGACAAUAAGAUAAGGUACCGUGAACUUAAGCUAUUGAAUUGCAGUAACUUACAGUAAUCUAACAUGAGGCAAGUGUUGAGAGAAUAAGCAGCUCGGAUUAAUCAAAUGCUCAAAUUGAGUACUGAUCAUCCUACAGAUGCACCAUCCUUUUGCAUUUUAUUUUCAGUUAAUAAAAUGAUAUUCAAUAGUUUUUUUGCAACCUCCAUGUGAUGGAUCUGACUGAUUUUAUAGAAAUUUGAGAAUCAUUUCAACUGGAUCUUCAUUGGUUUUUCCUGUCGUCGAACUGUACAGAUUAUCAGCCAAAUGGUCAAGCUCCAAUUUCCUGUACAGACAAGCCAUUGACACCUCAAAUCCGCACUAAUGGUGUUGAUAUUGCACAAUUCACUCCUCCAAGGCGGCUAACGACAGAUGAAAUCCCUCAAAUUGUGAAUGAUUUCAGGCUUGCUGCAAGAAAUGCAAUUGAGGCUGGUAAAUUCUUUUUUCUGAAAUUAAAAAUUGAAUUGUGGGCAAUAAGUGUUUUAAGGUCGCCACAGGAUGGGUGAUAUUUCACUGGUCUACUUUUCUUGAGAUUAAGGAUAAUAGUAUAAAAGAAUAGUGAGAUUCUUCCAUUCCAUGCAUGGCUAUCAGAAGGAAAGGAAAACUAAACAUAAAUGCAUUAAUAGAUUUUUACUAGGCUUUUGUGGCUUGUAAAUAAUGCUGUUUUAUUGUACUGUAAGGUUUAUGUGAAAACAGUUAAGUUUCUUUACAAUUAUGCUUAUUGUCCCAUAGUUGUAUUUAUCAUAUUGAAUAAAGAAUUUGAAAACUUAAACCUUACCUAAAUGUGUCAUUAAUGUAAAUGGAGUCAUUACAAUAGUCAGAUUAUUUGAAAUGGGUUCUAGAAUCUUACAUGUGACUCCUUUUGUCAUCUAAAAUGAUGGUUGAGACUUUGUUUUUUUUUUAUCUUAUCAACUGUUUUGUUGUUAGUUAAAAUAGGGAUUGAGUACCGGCAACUCUGAGUAGUUUUGUAGCUUUCUGCCUGCAUCUCUGAGACAUCACAAAACUGCCUUGGAUUAACUUUGAGAGCCAACCUAGUAAAUGCUUAAAUACUUUUUCUUGUUCUUAAAAUGAAAGCUAGACCCUCUGUCUGUCUGUCCGCACAAUGCGAGCCUCAGAGCUUUUAGUUAUAUGAGAAGAGGUAGAUAAAUGGAGUGUUCAUGCUGUACAGGUUUUUGGUUUCUAACUUUGUCUUAUGCUGUAUAGGUU
rnacentral:lncRNA from 1 species